CAAGUUGAUUGGCGAAAAUCACAACAAAUUGGAAUUGUCAUUUACAAGUAAAAUUAUUGAUUGUAUUGUUUCAAGGAGAGUACGACGACGAGUGCACCCAGCGACACAGGCGGACCUCUAAUCGGGUCCUUCGCAUUGACUGAACUGAAAAAAAAAGAAGUACUGGAGAGAGUUAAAAGAAAUGAAUAAAAAAAA
rnacentral:lncRNA from 1 species